GAUUGAUUGCCUUGAGAUGGAUUGUUGUUUGUUGUUUGAUUGAUUGGCUUGAGAUGGAUUGUUGUUUGUUGUUUGAUUGAUUGCCUUGAGAUGGAUUGUUGAUUGUUGUUUGAUUGAUUUCCUUGAGAUGGAUUGUUGUUUGUUGUUUGAUUGAUUGGCUUGAGAUGGAUUAUUGUUUGUUGUUUGAUUGAUUACCUUGAGAAGCUACAAACCAUGUAGGCCGAUUGUUUGCUGUUUGUUGCCUUGAGAUAUUACAUGUUCAUAUCGCACGAUUGACUGUUGUUUGUUCAUGGUUAUUACAAUUGAUUGAUUGUUGUUUGUUGAUUGGUAUCUAAUUUUGGUAUUGGUAGUUCCUGAUCAUAGGUAACAGACCUGGUGCUAUUAUUUUUUUUGAAUUUUUUUGUGAUUAUUAUGCCUUCACAUUGCACUGCUCCCAGAUCCAUAUCGACACGCCCACGCUGUUUGACGAGGAUAAAGAUGUUAUGAAAAAAUGGGGUGCUCCAAACAAGACUGCCUUCCUCUCUUUCUCAUACAAGGCAUGCAGAAUAUUUGCGGCAAAAGUCUGCUCUGCACAAGUACACAUGGCUGGAAACCUUGGUGCUGAGACUCUUCGUGGGUUGUAUCCAGUUGAGAGUAUUUCAAAGGCUGAGAAGGUCUUCAACCAGGAUUUCUACUUCAAGCGAACCAUGAAAUACGUGGGAGAACCCAUGAUCCACUUGGAGUCUAUUACUUCCUCUCCGGUGCGGGCUGCUAUUAAAGUUCAGGCUUCGGUCAUCAUUUGCUUCACCUCAUCUGGAUAGGAGAAAAGGGAGUAUUUCUUCUUAUAGGGGCUUCACCUCAUCUUGUAGUUUAAUAGAAAUUGAUUCAUAUAUUAUGCCGUAUCGAGUAUCUGCAGGAUAAUUGCCAAGUACAGGCCCACCAUGCCAUUCCUCAUCUAAAAACAAAUCAAUUGAAGUGGAGCUUCACAAGCGCAUCUGAAGCAAGACAAUCACUCAUAGUUAGAGUCCUCUUUCCCAUGCUUGCCGAUCCACAUCACCCGGCUGAAUCUACUAGCACUAGAAAUGAAUCAGUGUUGAAGGUUGCUCUUGACCACGGCAAAGCAUCCGGUGUGAUCAAGUCGCAUGGCUUACCUUAGCCAGAAUUUCUAUAAGAAUGUUGCUGAUGUUACAUGCCCUGCUUUCUCUAGAACGAAGAUCUGGAUCACCCUCGCCCCUCUAGAGAAAGUUCUGGAAAUUCUUUAUAGCUUUUUGAGUUUACUUCGGUCUUGCAUGUAUUACCUUUCUGUUUGUGCCCCUAUCUAUGUAUGUUUCUUGUGUGCAA